rnacentral:rRNA from 1 species
AGGAACGCUGGCGGUAGGCCUAACACAUGCAAGUCGAACGGCAGCACAGUAAGAGCUUGCUCUUACGGGUGGCGAGUGGCGGACGGGUGAGGAAUACAUCGGAAUCUACUUUUUCGUGGGGGAUAACGUAGGGAAACUUACGCUAAUACCGCAUACGACCUACGGGUGAAAGCAGGGGAUCUUCGGACCUUGCGCGGUUGAAUGAGCCGAUGUCGGAUUAGCUAGUUGGCGGGGUAAAGGCCCACCAAGGCGACGAUCCGUAGCUGGUCUGAGAGGAUGAUCAGCCACACUGGAACUGAGCCACGGUCCAGACUCCUACGGGAGGCAGCAGUGGGGAAUAUUGGACAAUGGGCGCAAGCCUGAUCCAGCCAUACCGCGUGGGUGAAGAAGGCCUUCGGGUUGUAAAGCCCUUUUGUUGGGAAAGAAAAGCAGCAGGUUAAUACCCCGCUGUUCUGACGGUACCCAAAGAAUAAGCACCGGCUAACUUCGUG